AUAUCAAAUUCAAAGUUACAGAUUUGUAACAAACAUUUCUAUUAACCUAAGAGUUACAUCCUGACACUUACCUGACCGCCAUUAAAACAAAACCAAAAAAUCCAAGAUAUAACUGGAUUUCGCAUCGAUAAGAAAAACUGAAAGAUAACAUCGAAGAGCAUCUCAAAGAAUUGUGAGUUCAUUUGGUUUUUAGAUCAUUCGACAAUAAUAUUAUUACGAAUGCCGAUGCAAGGCUUAUAUCAGACUAGCGUUAUUAAACAUUGCUAAAACUCUCCUUACACAUGUAUACAUCCACGCAUUAGUUAUUUUCAUAACAUUUUAUGAGAAUAUUUAUUUCGUUUCUUUUCCCCCCUUUUUCGGCGCGCAUUCGUCGUAUAGAAUGAGAAAUAUUUUUUCAAAAGAAGAAACAAUCUUUUUAAUCGAAAAAAAAAAUGAAUAGCGAACAUUUUAGAGUAUUAUUUCUAUCAAAUGCAUAUUUUAUCUAAAGUUUCGUGCGAAUAUAAUAUAUAAAUAUAAAAUACACGCGAUGUUACGCCAUAUAUUUACUAAACUCGAAUGUAGUUUCAUUAAAAAUGAUGAUGCAAAAUUAUGGCUAAUAUAAUGUAACUAAUAUGAUAUAAUUAUUGCACAAUAUUAGCCAUUGUAUACGUAAAAAUAUUGACUGACUUUUAGUGCCGUUCAUAAAUAUGUAUAAACGUAUUCGGCGUAUAAAUUAUAGUUUAAAAAAAGAAAUAAAAUGUAUGUUGCAAUUAUGAAAAAAAAAAAGAAAAAAUAUGGAAAUAUAAAUCUGAAUCAGAGCGUGCAUUACAUGUAACAUUAUAGUGUCACAAACGUACAUGCUAAUAUGUGAAAACUGCAGAUUCAUAAUCAUUAUAAAACUAGAUGUACAGUACUUUUUAAUCUUGAUUUAACGCAAAUAUACAUAUAAUACUUUGUAUAUUGAAUGAUUCAGGGUAACGCUCUAGUCAUUUAUACAAUAAAAGUUAUUUAUAGAUUCAUGACGAAUUAAUAGACACGCACAUACAAUAUGAACUAUAAAUAACAAUUUCUGAAGCAUCUAGUAACUAGUCAAUCUGUUUCGAAAUUAUUGCUUAUAAUGUCGCCUUCUAUCUAUUUUUACUUAUCACUUAAUCCUCCGUCGUUAUUACUACAGUUUUAAUAUCAUUUGUUGCUACAUUUUUAUAUCAUAAUUUUUGGUUUUACCAAGUAGAAAAUGAAAUGCUGAAUGAAAUGGCUAGAGUGUGAACAUUUUUUUCUAAACGAAUAUAUAAUAGAAUGAAAAAAUGUGCCACAUUAAAAUAUACACAUAAUAAAAAUAAUGUAUGAUUUUAUGACCAGCAUUAAAACAAAGAAAAAGUUUAAAUAUAGUAAAGCACCGAUGCUUAAUUGCUCUACAGAAAAAGAAUUAAAAAAGAUGUUGGAAGAUUAUAAUCCUGUACGUUUAUUAUACAUACAUAUAAAAGCACACGGUGUGUUUAGAAUUAAUCGUUAAUAUGUAUAUAUGAUGAAUUUUGUUGUUUGAGAUGUUUUUUGUGGUGUUCGUACGAUAAUGGAAAAACUAAGUUUGAAAAUAUAUCUACGCUAUAUGUACACUAUACAUAGUUAUUUCAAUAAGAAAAUUUAUUGCGCUUUCCUAUAAUACACAUCGGAAGGAAUUGCUUAUAAAAUAACAUUUAGCUCGAUAAAAAUUGCUUCAUAAUAAACCGCCAGUAUGAUGGAAACGAUUUUACAUAUAUUGUACAUUGCAAAAGUAGUCAGAGCAAUGGUUGACAGAUAUGAGAAACGGAUUUAUGACAAUUAUUUAAUGCUAUUGAAAAUUCAUCUAAUCGCAUGAUUAUACCACUAAUAAUGAAUUAUAUGGAAGAUUAUAAUAUCAACGGUAACUCGAGAGGUAGACGACUAAAAGAAUAAUGAAAGGUUUAACCUAUAUUGUACGUCGAUUCUUUUAGUAAUGCGUUAAUGGCAUAAAACAUGUAAUGUUAUACGAAGCAUGGAAACGUUAAGCAACUAACAGAGCUAUAGCGUUAAAUACUAACUAAUCAAUAAUAAAUUCAGUGUACAUAAUGUAAAGAAAGAUAAAUAGCAUAAAUUUAAUGACUCAUCUAAAAA